rnacentral:rRNA from 1 species
UACGUAGGGUGCGAGCGUUGUCCGGAAUUAUUGGGCGUAAAGGGCUCGUAGGCGGUUUGUCGCGUCGGGAGUGAAAACUCAGGGCUUAACCCUGAGCCUGCUUCCGAUACGGGCAGACUAGAGGUAUGCAGGGGAGAACGGAAUUCCUGGUGUAGCGGUGAAAUGCGCAGAUAUCUGGAGGAACACCAGUGGCGAAGGCGGCUAUCUGGACGGUUUCUGACGCUAAGACGCGAAAGCGUGGGGAGCAAACAGG